CACACAUCGUCCCUAUCCGUAACUGCCACAACUCCACUCUCCGUCAUGGCAUAGAUCAAUCCUACAACCCCGAUCCGGUUUCCCCAGACUCGUCCCGAAUGGCCGGAAGAGUUGAGAAUCCUAUUCACCUUCAGUUUCAACGUAUCGGUGGAUUCGAAGGAUUUGAGGGCGGAGAACAACCCAACUGAAGCACCGCCGAUGGAGGCGGCGAGAUAUGCAGAACCAGUAUAAAAGGUCAGAUUUUCGCCCCAGGAGCGGCGCUGGUGGAG
rnacentral:misc_RNA from 1 species